UACGAAGGGGGAGCUAGCGUUGUUCGGAAUUACUGGGCGUAAAGGGCGCGUAGGCGGCGUGUCAAGUCAGGCGUGAAAGCCCCGGGCUCAACCUGGGAACCGCGCUUGAGACUGGCAUGCUCGAGUUCGGGAGAGGAUGGUGGAAUUCCCAGUGUAGAGGUGAAAUUCGUAGAUAUUGGGAAGAACACCGAUGGCGAAGGCAGCCAUCUGGACCGACACUGACGCUGAGGCGCGAAAGCGUGGGGAGCAAACAGG
rnacentral:rRNA from 1 species